CGACAGAGGUGGCAAGCGUUGUUCGGAUUUACUGGGCUUAAAGGGCGUGUAGGCGUCCUGGUAAGUCAGAUGUGGAAGCCUUGGGCUCAACCCAAGAAUUGCAUUUGAUACUGCCGGGAUUGAGUCGUGCAUGGGAGGGCGGAAUUCCUGGUGUAGCGGUGAAAUGCGUAGAUAUCAGGAGGAAGGCCGGUGGCGAAGGUGGCCCUCUGGGCAAUGACUGACGCUGAGGCGCGAAAGCGUGGGGAGCAAACAGGAUUAGAAACCCUAGUAGUCC
rnacentral:rRNA from 1 species